UUGAGGAAGAUGCUGUUCCAAUAUGCUUAUAACUACAAGUUGGCAAAUCUGGAGAAGGGUCUGCCACAAGAAAACGCAGCACCUCUCUUGGACAAGCUUGUCUUUGACAAGGUCAGUCAUCCCACCCUUCACCAUUCCAUUCUUGAAAUAGCUGUUUUACAUUCUAACGAAGUGUUACUUGUGGCAGAUAAAACAAGCAUUAGGGGGACGAGUUCAUAUACUGUUGUCUGGUGCUGCACCUUUGCCUAGGCAUGUGCAGGAAUUUUUGAGGGUCACCGCCUGCAGUACUUUGUCACAAGGAUAUGGCCUCACUGAAAGCUGUGGUGGAUGUCUUACGUCUAUUGGCAAUGUUUUUCCUAUGAUGGGAACUGUGGGUGUCUCCAUGACAACUAUUGAAACAAGGCUUGAGUCAGUGCCAGAAAUGGGAUAUGAUGCACUUUCCAGUGUGCCACGUGGAGAGAUUUGCCUGAGAGGAAAAUCCUUGUUUUCUGGUUACCACAAGCGACAAGAUCUGACAGA